rnacentral:rRNA from 1 species
CCUACGGGAGGCUGCAGUGAGGAAUAUUGGUCAAUGGCCGAGAGGCUGAACCAGCCAAGUCGCGUGAGGGAAGACCGCCCUACGGGUUGUAAACCUCUUUUGUCGGGGAGCAAAGCGAGUCACGUGUGACUCAUUGAGAGUACCCGAAGAAAACGCAUCGGCUAACUACGUGCCAGCAGCCGCGGUAAUCCGGAGGAUGCGAGCGUUAUCGGGAUUUAUUGGGUUUAAGGGGUGCGCAGGCGGAGGUGAAGAUAAGCGCGAAAGUUGCGGGGCUCAACCCCGUACUGCCGUUGAAACUGCAUGCCUUGAGUGCGGGAGAAGUAUGCGGAAUGCGUGGUGUAGCGGUGAAAUGCGUAGAUAUCACGCAGAACUCCGAUUGCGAAGGCAGCAUACCGGCGCGCAACUGACGCUGAGGCACGAAAGCGUGGGUAUCGAACAGGAUUAGAUACCCCUGUAGUC